GGAUUAGGCAUGCAAGUCGAACGGGCCGCAAGGCCAGUGGCGCAAGGGUGAGUAAGGCGACGGUAACCCACCCCACGAUUGGGCAUAGCCGCGGGAAACCGCGGGUAACCCCCAGCGACGUCCGGCGGGGGCAUCCCCGGCGGACCAAAGCCCCGGCGUCGUGGGACGGGCCGUCGUGGUAUUAGGUCGUUGGCGGGGUAACGGCCCGCCAAGCCUCCGAUGCCUACCGGGCGUGCGAGCGUGGCCCGGCACACUGGGACUGAGACACUGCCCAGACUCCUACGGGAGGCUGCAGUCGAGAAUCUUCGGCAAUGGGCGCAAGCCUGACCGAGCGACGCCGCGUGGAGGACGAAGGCCUUCGGGUUGUAAACUCCUGUCGAGGGGGAGCAAGGCGCCGUGCAGAGCGGCGUUUGAGCGAUCCCUGGAGGAAGCACGGGCUAAGUUCGUGCCAGCAGCCGCGGUAAUACAGA
rnacentral:rRNA from 1 species